AUUGAUCUUUAGCCUUGGCUUGGUAUCAGGUAUCUUCUUCCUGAGCAUAUGGGACCAUGUACCCUUAGGAUCACGUAUUCUGGACAUUCAGAUUUAAGUGUGAAGUUUCAAAGUCACAGGAGCAGAGACUAUACUAAUCCUUACCUUCCUGUUGCUCCAUCAGCUGUGGAGGGAAGUGGACAGGUAUUGUUUAUGUCAGUCAACAUUUCCAUGUUUUACUAGAAUAAUAAUAUCUCUUAUCACGCCACCGGUUUUUAUAUUCAAUGAAAAAUAUGCAUGUUGCUUGUUUUAAAUUGAAUGUUUAUGUUUUAUGCAUUAGUUUGGUGUCUGCACCUUCUGCUGAGGGGAUGCCAAAACUAAGGUAUUAUCCUAACAAAUAUGUCCGACAGUUCAUGGCAGAAGCUAUGUCAUUUGUUUUGAGAAAUUCCCCAGACGAGCAGCUAGAAAGAGGAAUCAGGAGAUUGAUUGACGAUGCUGUGAAGAAGCCAUCU